UCAUGAACUAUCAUCACAAAAGGCAUUAGGAAAUAAAUCAACAAGUGAAAACAACCACUUAAAAGUUCAAAUUAACUUCCAAAAGUGCAACGAAAGCAAUUGAUGAAGAAAAUAGUAAACAUUCUUCCACUUCAGAUGACGAAAGUUGUAACCUUGCAACAACGAAAAA